CUGAUGAUUGCCCAGGAAGCCUAACAUGGUUUUCUCUACUUUUUUAGAUGCAGAAAUAGAGACUUACAGAGGCUGAAUAAUUUGCCAGAGAUCAUCGUGCUUGUGACUCUCAGGACUGGGGUUGGAACCCGGUGGUGGGGCUCCAGAGUGGGAGGCGCCAGUUGGCCAUGGACAAGUGUCAGGUGUGGCAUUGGCCAGUGAGCCGCUCCAGCUGGGGAGACCGCGCCUCUGCCUGAGAUCCAGGAUUAUCUUUAAAGGGGCUAGGCAGUUAUGGUUCGUCUUUCUUCGGUCACUAAUGUUGUGGGAGCUGUUCCUGCUUCCCACCCUUACUACGCAGCGCUUGAGUGGCAGGAAGUUUUACACUGAGGAGCUCCUCCAUCUCACUAGAAGCUGUGGCCACUCACAUGUUGUUCAGAGCCCUGGUGUGGGUUAACCCUGGACUGAAGACGUCUCCCAUUCUCUGGAGAUUUCUUCUCUGCAACUGGCCUCCCUUGCCAGUCCCCAAUCAUUUUAAAUCUGGAAGCCAUGUUGUUUUUCACUCCAUCAGCGAAAGCAUGUAGCCAGUGAGAAUUGCUACACAAACCGGAGUUCCCUGGAAGAGGCCUUUAUUCUCAGAGCCUGAGAUUGUGUUGGCUGGAAGCAGGAACCUGUUGAAUACAUAAAAACAAAACAAAAGAAAACAAAAGCACAGUUGUCUGGCAUGGCUGUGUUGUUGGCUGGUGCGAAAACUGAAAUCCUCCUGGGCUACAUCUUCUUUUGCUACGUUGGCCUCAUUUCUGUAGGAGGAACAUGUGUGGAGCAGUCAGAUGAGGC
rnacentral:lncRNA from 1 species